GAAAAAAAAAAAAAAAAGACAAGAUUUCAACAAAAGUCCACCUAAUUCCUUAUAUAAUCCUUCAUAAUUAUGCAGAUCCCAUUAUAUUGACUUAUCCUUUUACAUGACUAGCUCCCUCUCUAAAUGGGGAGAUCUUAGAGGGCAGAGGCUGGGUCUUAUUGAUUUAUGGAUUCUCAAUGCAUGACCCAAUGCUUGGUGCAUAGUGAGUGAUGGGUUGAUGGAUAAUUACAAGUAACUGAACGUUGUCUAACUUCUCCAUGGGUGGGAAAUGGGAGAGAAUAAGGGAAGAAAUUCAGUCCUGGAGAAGCUUUCAGUAGUCUCAUAGGAAACAUCUGUAGGUCUAAAGGGGAAAACCAGUGUCUGCAAUUGACUAGAAUGCACUGCUAGGGCAGGGACUGCUGGGGCAGGGAAACUACUGGGGAAGGGGCUGCUAGGUGCUAUUGUUAUUGAUAAUAAUAAAUGGCAUUUACCAAAACAAAAACUAAUAUGUUCCUGAAUCUGCGCUAAGUGCCUUUAUUUAUGUGACCUUAUAUAAUUCCCACAAGAACUCCAUGUAGUUCUUGAAGUUCAUGACUAAUAAUGAACUAUGACUGUGCCCUUUAUAUAGAUUGGAAAAUUGAAGCUGGAAAGUGAAGGAGCCUUUGAAGAGCAGAAGCAGAAGGCUUCCAGUUCAGAUCUGUCUCUCUGCAGAGCUCUCCUUUGUUCUAGCCAGUUUCCAUCUUCUUGGUGUUGCUAAGACAAGCUGUUACUAAGAGGAGGCUAUCCUGACUGACGGCUCAUGCUGGUUUGAGGGUCCUUCUCUUAUUCUGCAGGAAAAGAUACAGAAACAAUGGGAAACACCCCUACAGAGCUCGAGCUUGAGGAUGUGAGCAUCGAUGAGCUUUCCUUUUCUUGGCAAGGGGUUUGGUCUUCAGCUAAAUGUGUGUUUUUGCUGAUUUUAGGGGGAUUCUAAAGCAGCACUGGUUCAUCUAGCUGGAAGUAGCCUCAGCCAAGGCCAUGCUGCUGCAAAAAGUCAAUCCUGGAGCUCAUUUGCUCUUCACUUGACAUAAGUGCUUCCUUUGGUAUUAAUUUUUUUUUUUUUUGCACCAGUGAAGGUUCUUACUUGAAACUGAUUUAACAUAUUAAGGAAAGGGAUCAAUUGAAAGAAUGUUGGGUAGCUCACAGAUGACUGGGAAGUCUGCUUUGGAUGCCUGCUGGAACAAUGGAGGUUGAGAAACAGCUAGGACCCCAGCUGAAAUCAUGCCUGUCUGGUGGAGCAUUAACAUGCUUCCAGAAGUCAAAACUAUAUAAAGGAUAUACUCCGAGAAGUAUUCCUCCCUUCUGUACCCACUCCAUCUUGUUCCUCCUAGCCAGCUCUUGAAGAGUCGGAAAUUCACUCUAAACAGGAGAAGCAGCAAUGAGAACUUCAAGAAGAGAUAUAAGGACUUAGCUCACCACUUUUGUAAAGCCUUUGAGAUUAACUACUUCCUGCCAUUGGAAACAUAUAAACCUAAGGGAUACAUUCAUUCAUACUGGAUUACGAUAGGUUAUAGUCAAUUUAUUUACUUGCCUUUCUCCAUGAAGGCAUCUCCAGCUCAUCCAAGAUCAACUGCAGAGGAGGACGAGGGAAAUUUUAUAUGGGAACAAUUAUCUGAAAAAUAGUCAUUCAUCGAUUCAAGCUCUGACAUCUUUCGGUUCUGCCAUUCCCCCAGAGAAUGUCCUCAUUUGUAUGGUCAAGGCUGGGUUGCAGAGAAGUCCAUGUUGCAGCUCAUGGAAAAAAAGAACCAAAGGGACUCAAGAACACUGGCUUAUGUCUUAGAUUGGAGAUGACCUGGAAAGUCAACUUUCACCCAUAACCCAUUGGCCUAAAGUAAGUCCCAGAGUCAACUUGAAUUGCAAGGGAUCCGGAGUAAUGCUGUUUAUACCUGGAGUGCUGGGGACCCAGCUUAAACUCUACCACCAUAGAAGACAGGGAAGAUAGAUUUUGAUGGAUGACCAGAAGUUUCUGUUACAUGUACAACAGAUUAAAAAUAUAUAUAUUGCCAGCUGGGUGUGGUGGCUCAUGCCUGUAAUCCCAGAACUUUGGGAGUCCAA
rnacentral:lncRNA from 1 species